UGAACGCUGGCGGUAGGCCUAACACAUGCAAGUCGAACGGCAGCACAGUAAGAGCUUGCUCUUACGGGUGGCGAGUGGCGGACGGGUGAGGAAUACAUCGGAAUCUACUUUUUCGUGGGGGAUAACGUAGGGAGACUUACGCUAAUACCGCAUACGACCUACGGGUGAAAGCAGGGGAUCUUCGGACCUUGCGCGAUUGAAUGAGCCGAUGUCGGAUUAGCUAGUUGGCGGGGUAAAGGCCCACCAAGGCGACGAUCCGUAGCUGGUCUGAGAGGAUGAUCAGCCACACUGGAACUGAGACACGGUCCAGACUCCUACGGGAGGCAGCAGUGGGGAAUAUUGGACAAUGGGCGCAAGCCUGAUCCAGCCAUACCGCGUGGGUGAAGAAGGCCUUCGGGUUGUAAAGCCCUUUUGUUGGGAAAGAAAAGCAGCAGGUUAAUACCCCGCUGUUCUGACGGUACCCAAAGAAUAAGCACCGGCUAACUUCGUG
rnacentral:rRNA from 1 species